GCUGGGUGUGGUGGUGCACACCUGUAAUCCCAGCUAUUUGGGAGGCUGAGGCAGGAGAAUUACUUGAACCCAGGAGGCGAAGGUUGCAGUGAGCCAAGAUCAUGCCACUGCAGUCCAGCCUGGGUGACAGAGUGAGACUCCGUCUCAA
rnacentral:sRNA from 1 species